rnacentral:rRNA from 1 species
AGAGUUUGAUCCUGGCUCAGGACGAACGCUGGCGGCGCGCCUAACACAUGCAAGUCGAACGAGCGAGAGAGAGCUUGCUUUCUCGAGCGAGUGGCGAACGGGUGAGUAACGCGUGAGGAACCUGCCUCAAAGAGGGGGACAACAGUUGGAAACGACUGCUAAUACCGCAUAAGCCCACGGGUCGGCAUCGACCAGAGGGAAAAGGAGCAAUCCGCUUUGAGAUGGCCUCGCGUCCGAUUAGCUAGUUGGUGAGGUAACGGCCCACCAAGGCGACGAUCGGUAGCCGGACUGAGAGGUUGAACGGCCACAUUGGGACUGAGACACGGCCCAGACUCCUACGGGAGGCAGCAGUGGGGAAUAUUGCACAAUGGGGGAAACCCUGAUGCAGCGACGCCGCGUGGAGGAAGAAGGUCUUCGGAUUGUAAACUCCUGUUGUUGGGGAAGAUAAUGACGGUACCCAACAAGGAAGUGACGGCUAACUACGUGCCAGCAGCCGCGGUAAAACGUAGGUCACAAGCGUUGUCCGGAAUUACUGGGUGUAAAGGGAGCGCAGGCGGGAAGACAAGUUGGAAGUGAAAUCCAUGGGCUCAACCCAUGAACUGCUUUCAAAACUGUUUUUCUUGAGUAGUGCAGAGGUAGGCGGAAUUCCCGGUGUAGCGGUGGAAUGCGUAGAUAUCGGGAGGAACACCAGUGGCGAAGGCGGCCUACUGGGCACCAACUGACGCUGAGGCUCGAAAGUGUGGGUAGCUAACAGGAUUAGAUACCCUGGUAGUCCACACUGUAAACGAUGAUUACUAGGUGUUGGGAGGAUUGACCCCUUCAGUGCCGCAGUUAACACAAUAAGUAAUCCACCUGGGGAGUACGACCGCAAGGUUGAAACUCAAAGGAAUUGACGGGGGGCCCGCACAAGCAGUGGAGUAUGUGGUUUAAUUCGACGCAACGCGAAGAACCUUACCAAGUCUUGACAUCCUGCGACGGACAUAGAAAUAUGUUUUUCCUUCGGGACGCAGAGACAGGUGGUGCAUGGUUGUCGUCAGCUCGUGUCGUGAGAUGUUGGGUUAAGUCCCGCAACGAGCGCAACCCUUAUGGUCAGUUACUACGCAAGAGGACUCUGGCCAGACUGCCGUUGACAAAACGGAGGAAGGUGGGGAUGACGUCAAAUCAUCAUGCCCUUUAUGACUUGGGCUACACACGUACUACAAUGGCGUUAAACAAAGAGAAGCAAGACCGCGAGGUGGAGCAAAACUCAGAAACAACGUCCCAGUUCGGACUGCAGGCUGCAACUCGCCUGCACGAAGUCGGAAUUGCUAGUAAUCGCAGAUCAGCAUGCUGCGGUGAAUACGUUCCCGGGCCUUGCACACACCGCCCGUCA